CCUACGGGGGGCUGCAGUAGGGAAUAUUGCUCAAUGGGGGAAACCCUGAAGCAGCAACGCCGCGUGGAGGAUGAAGGUUUUAGGAUUGUAAACUCCUUUUGUUAGAGAAGAUUUAACGGUAUCUAACGAAUAAGCACCGGCUAAAUCCGUGCCAGCAGCCGCGGUAAUACGGAGGGUGCAAGCGUUACUCGGAAUCACUGGGCGUAAAGAGUGCGUAGGCGGGGUAAUAAGUCAGAUGUGAAAUCCUGUGGCUUAACUACAGAACUGCAUUUGCAACUGUUUGGCUGGAGUGUGGGCGAGGUAGGUGGAAUUCUUGGUGUAGGGGUGAAAUGCGUAGAGAUCAAGAGGAAUACUGAUUGCGAAGGCGACCUGCUGGAACAUUACUGACGCUGAUGCACGAAAGCGUGGGGAGCAAACAGGAUUAGAUACCCGAGUAGUC
rnacentral:rRNA from 1 species